AUGCGCCUGUGCGCCGCCCCAUCCACGGCUGACCGCCGCUCGAAGCUGCCCCUGCACGCCGCCGACUCAUCCAGGCACUGCCCCCUGCUUCCUCCCAUGUGGCCUUCUUCCUCUGUCCACUACUGGCUCGUCGGCAGUUCUUCUUCGCCAACACCCGAAGAUGGAGAUGUGUGUAUGUAUACAUGUGUUCUGGAGAUAGGAGAACUUAUCUGGUGGUGUGUGCGUGCUGCUGCAUCCUCUUCCGGCCGCUCUAAUGCACACCCUCAGUACAACUUCUUUCAAUUUAUAAAUUUCAUUCAGUUCGGCGAGGUGGAGAUUGGGGCGCGGUGGGGUGUGGCCUUGCGUGUGGAGACGGCCCGCCGCAACGUCACCGGCCGGAUCCCGCUCUUCAGUGAAAUGUCUUGGUGCAUGGUCGAAGGUGCAUCUGGAAGCAUCCCCAUGUCAAUUGCAAAGCACAUAUGUUGUUUCUUUCCAGGCUACUCUAGAUUAGAACAAGUUAAAAUGCUUAUAAGCUUGACAUCUUUGAUGAAUCCAGCCCGAACUGAAGCAUGUCAGCAAACCGGGCGCUGGGCCAACCACUGUUGUCUGUCUACCUCCUUCCCCGGCUCCUUCUCCACGUCGACACAAUUGCAGGACCAACGUGCUACUGACCACGCAAGCUUUCUCAAGGAGCUCGUGUCCAACGAUACUGAAAGGAAAAAUGGAGUGAAACUUUUGGUAUUCUGUGACGUUGACGUCAAAGAAAACGUCUGGGAGAAGGAGAUCAGUCCAAACAACUCAAAAAAGAGAAGAUCAGUCCAACAGGCGCAUCACAAGGCUUUGUUGGACACCGAGUACUUGGCUGGAGUGGCAGAGAACCAACCAAGGAAAGAAAGGAAAUUUGAAGUGAGGUGGUUAGCAGAGGAAACAGUGAAUGAGAUUGUCACCACGGCUUGGCAGAAAGCACUACACCGCGGUCUCUGUCCUACCGCCAUGGACAAGAUUAAUGCCAUUCACAAAGAUCUCCAUGCUUGGGACCGUAAUGUGCUGAAGCAGCUGCAGGCCAGGAUGAAGAAGGCGAGACAGGGAACUCGAGCGCUUGAUGAGAGAACCGUACUCAGCUGA
rnacentral:rRNA from 1 species